rnacentral:rRNA from 1 species
UCCGUAGGCGGUGUGGCAAGUCGGAAGUGAAAUCUCUGGGCUUAACUCAGAGGCUGCUUCCGGAACUGCCGUGCUAGAGUGCGAGAGAGGCAAGUGGAAUUGCGGGUGUAGCGGUGAAAUGCGUAGAUAUCCGCAGGAACAUCCGAGGCGAAAGCGGCUUGCUGGAUCGCAACUGACGCUGAGGGACGAAAGCUAGGGGAGCAAACAGGAUUAGAUACCCUGGUAGUCCUAGCCCUAAACCAUCAGGACUUGGGGUUUGCCCUGUACGGGGCAAGUCCCGUAGCUAACGCGUUAAGUCCUGCGCCUGGGGAGUACGGUCGCAAGGCUGAA